UAGCGGAGGAAAAGAAACCAACAGGGAUUGCCUCAGUAGCGGCGAGUGAAGCGGCAAGAGCUCAGAUUUGAAAUCGUGCUUUGCGGCACGAGUUGUAGAUUGCAGGUUGGAGUCUGUGUGGAAGGCGGUGUCCAAGUCCCUUGGAACAGGGCGCCCAGGAGGGUGAGAGCCCCGUGGGAUGCCGGCGGAAGCAGUGAGGCCCUUCUGACGAGUCGAGUUGUUUGGGAAUGCAGCUCCAAGCGGGUGGUAAAUUCCAUCUAAGGCUAAAUACUGGCGAGAGACCGAUAGCGAACAAGUACUGUGAAGGAAAGAUGAAAAGCACUUUGAAAAGAGAGUGAAACAGCACGUGAAAUUGUUGAAAGGGAAGGGUAUUGCGCCCGACAUGGGGAUUGCGCACCGCUGCCUCUCGUGGGCGGCGCUCUGGGCUUUCCCUGGGCCAGCAUCGGUUCUUGCUGCAGGAGAAGGGGUUCUGGAACGUGGCUCUUUGGAGUGUUAUAGCCAGGGCCAGAUGCUGCGUGCGGGGACCGAGGACUGCGGCCGUGUAGUCACGGA
rnacentral:rRNA from 2 species